rnacentral:rRNA from 1 species
GCUUACGGCCAUACCACCCUGAAUGCGCCCGAUCACGUCUGAUCUCGGAAGCUAAGCAGGGUCUGGCCUGGUUAGUACUUGGAUGGGAGACCGCCUGGGAAUACCAGGUGCUGUAAGCU